CGGUUAAGUUAGAAAGGGCGCACGGUGGAUGCCUUGGCACUAGGAGCCGAUGAAGGACGGGACGAACACCGAUAUGCUUCGGGGAGCUGUAAGCAAGCUUUGAUCCGGAGAUUUCCGAAUGGGGAAACCCACCACUCGUAAUGGAGUGGUAUCCAUAUCUGAAUACAUAGGAUAUGAGAAGGCAGACCCGGGGAACUGAAACAUCUAAGUACCCGGAGGAAGAGAAAGCAAAUGCGAUUCCCUGAGUAGCGGCGAGCGAAACGGGACCAGCCCAAACCAAGAGGCUUGCCUCUUGGGGUUGUAGGACACUCUGUACGGAGUUACAAAGGAACGAGGUAGAUGAAGAGGUCUGGAAAGGCCCGCCAUAGAAGGUAACAGCCCUGUAGUCAAAACUUCGUUCUCUCCUGAGUGGAUCCUGAGUACGGCGGAACACGUGAAAUUCCGUCGGAAUCCGGGAGGACCAUCUCCCAAGGCUAAAUACUCCCUAGUGACCGAUAGUGAACCAGUACCGUGAGGGAAAGGUGAAAAGCACCCCGGAAGGGGAGUGAAAGAGAUCCUGAAACCGUGUGCCUACAAGUAGUCAGAGCCCGUUAACGGGUGAUGGCGUGCCUUUUGUAGAAUGAACCGGCGAGUUACGAUCCCGUGCAAGGUUAAGCAGAAGAUGCGGAGCCGCAGCGAAAGCGAGUCUGAAUAGGGCGAAUUGAGUACGUGGUCGUAGACCCGAAACCAGGUGAUCUACCCAUGUCCAGGGUGAAGUUCAGGUAACACUGAAUGGAGGCCCGAACCCACGCACGUUGAAAAGUGCGGGGAUGAGGUGUGGGUAGGGGUGAAAUGCCAAUCGAACCUGGAGAUAGCUGGUUCUCUCCGAAAUAGCUUUAGGGCUAGCCUCAAGGUAAGAGUCUCGGAGGUAGAGCACUGAUUGGACUAGGGGCCCCUACCGGGUUACCGAAUUCAGUCAAACUCCGAAUGCCGAUGACUUAUCCUUGGGAGUCAGACUGCGAGUGAUAAGAUCCGUAGUCGAAAGGGAAACAGCCCAGACCGCCAGCUAAGGUCCCAAAGUAUACGUUAAGUGGAAAAGGAUGUGGAGUUGCUUAGACAACCAGGAUGUUGGCUUAGAAGCAGCCACCAUUUAAAGAGUGCGUAAUAGCUCACUGGUCGAGUGACUCUGCGCCGAAAAUGUACCGGGGCUAAACGUAUCACCGAAGCUGCGGACUGUUCUUCGAACAGUGGUAGGAGAGCGUUCUAAGGGCUGUGAAGCAAGACCGGAAGGACUUGUGGAGCGCUUAGAAGUGAGAAUGCCGGUAUGAGUAGCGAAAGAGGGGUGAGAAUCCCCUCCACCGAAUGCCUAAGGUUUCCUGAGGAAGGCUCGUCCGCUCAGGGUUAGUCGGGACCUAAGCCGAGGCCGAAAGGCGUAGGCGAUGGAUAACAGGUUGAUAUUCCUGUACCACCUCCUCACCAUUUGAGCAAUGGGGGGACGCAGGAGGAUAGGGUAAGCGCGGUAUUGGAUAUCCGCGUCCAAGCAGUUAGGCUGGGAAAUAGGCAAAUCCGUUUCCCGUGAAGGCUGAGCUGUGAUGGCGAGCGAAUUAUAGUAGCGAAGUUCCUGAUUCCACACUGCCAAGAAAAGCCUCUAGCGAGGUGAGAGGUGCCCGUACCGCAAACCGACACAGGUAGGCGAGGAGAGAAUCCUAAGGUGAUCGAGAGAACUCUCGUUAAGGAACUCGGCAAAAUGACCCCGUAACUUCGGGAGAAGGGGUGCUCUGUUAGGGUGCAAGCCCGAGAGAGCCGCAGUGAAUAGGCCCAGGCGACUGUUUAGCAAAAACACAGGUCUCUGCGAAGCCGUAAGGCGAAGUAUAGGGGCUGACGCCUGCCCGGUGCUGGAAGGUUAAGAGGAGCGCUUAGCGUAAGCGAAGGUGCGAAUUGAAGCCCCAGUAAACGGCGGCCGUAACUAUAACGGUCCUAAG
rnacentral:rRNA from 1 species